CAGGAAGCUGUCAUCCGCUGUUUGCGUCUGCUGACAAGAAAUCAAGGAGACUGACGGUUAUUAUCGAUGGCCGUGACACAAGAAGCAACAUCCAGGGUCUCCUUGACGACAGAGCGGAUGAGAAGGACGGAGGACCAGAUGAGAAGGACGGAGGACCACAGGACCAGAUGAGAAGGACGGAGGACCAGAUGAGAAGGACGGAGGACCACAGGACUAGAUGAGAAGGACUGAGGACCAGAUGAGAAGGACGGAGGACCACAGGACCAGAUGGAGAGCGACGGUCGCCUUUCUUUCAGUGGGCUGACGCAGGACUCCUCUGGGCUUUUGUCUCUCUCUUGGGGGAGCUGAGGGUGGACGUCAACCAACCCGUUAACCCAGGACGACCCACACUCACAGCCGACCUCUGAACCCCUCACAGCACCCCAGAGAGUCCGAGACCCAGUGAUUAAGGUCCUCCCUGCCCCUCCACCCCGACACCACCAGUCCCACCCGCCAGCCAAGAGGACGAGGAGGGUCCCGUCCCCACCAGCACAGAGGACGUAGUUUGUAAACCAUCUACUGACAAGAAAUCAAGGAGACUGACGGUUCAGGCUGGACGAGAAAUAAUUCUUCUAAAAGCUUUAAUGUAUUUUAUUUGUCACAUAAAUUACAGAAUGUUCAUGUACACUGUCUGUACAGUAUUUAUACAAAAUAAAGAAAUGUAUUGAAAAUAA